GCGAAACUGACGCAGCCAUGCCGCGUGAAUAAUGAAGGUCUUAGGAUUGUAAAAUUCUUUCACCGGGGACGAUAAUGACGGUACCCGGAGAAGAAGCCCCGGCUAACUUCGUGCCAGCAGCCGCGGUAAUACGAAGGGGGCUAGCGUUGCUCGGAAUUACUGGGCGUAAAGGGAGCGUAGGCGGGACAUUUAAGCCAGGGGUGAAAUCCCGGGGCUCAACCUCGGAAUUGCCUUUGAUACUGGGUGUCUUGAGUAUGAGAGAGGUGUGUGGAACUCCGAGUGUAGAGGUGAAAUUCGUAGAUAUUCGGAAGAACACCAGUGGCGAAGGCGACACACUGGCUCAUUACUGACGCUGAGGCUCGAAAGCGUGGGGAGCAAACAGGAUUAGAUACCCUGGUAGUCCACGCCGUAAACGAUGAUUGCUAGUUGUCGGGAUGCAUGCAUUUCGGUGACGCAGCUAACGCAUUAAGCAAUCCGCCUGGGGAGUACGGUCGCAAGAUUA
rnacentral:rRNA from 1 species